CCUACGGGUGGCUGCAGUGGGGAAUAUUGCACAGUGGGCGCAAGCCUGAUGCAGCCAUGCCGCGUGUGUGAAGAAGGCCUUCGGGUUGUAAAGCACUUUCAGCGGGGAGGAAGGCGGUGAGGUUAAUAACCUCAUCGAUUGACGUUACCCGCAGAAGAAGCACCGGCUAACUCCGUGCCAGCAGCCGCGGUAAUACGGAGGGUGCAAGCGUUAAUCGGAAUUGCUGGGCGUAAAGCGCACGCAGGCGGUCUGUCAAGUCGGAUGUGAAAUCCCCGGGCUCAACCUGGGAACUGCAUUCGAAACUGGCAGGCUAGAGUCUUGUAGAGGGGGGUAGAAUUCCAGGUGUAGCGGUGAAAUGCGUAGAGAUCUGGAGGAAUACCGGUGGCGAAGGCGGCCCCCUGGACAAAGACUGACGCUCAGGUGCGAAAGCGUGGGGAGCAAACAGGAUUAGAUACCCGAGUAGUC
rnacentral:rRNA from 1 species